AGAUGAGGAAGCUGACACAGAGGUGAGGUGACAUCUUCACAACCGCACAGCCAGGGAGUGUGAGAGCCGGGACUCACGCCCAGACAGUCUGGCACCAGAGUCCUCGCGGCUCACCGUCCCAUGGAGCCGUCUUCGUAAUAACCGUUCCCUUGGGCACGGGCCGGAGCCACAUCUGGGAGUGGUUCUCAAGCAUACUGUGCCUUGGGAUUUGCUUCUAUCACCCCAAAACUCGAGGAGCCUCAGUAGCAGGAGUCCACGUUCAGCUGUCCUACCGGAAAUUAAGAGGUUUUUCUAUUCUUCUCCUGCCGCAGCGGGGAGCAUCCUGACUGUACCCCAGACCUGGAGGCUGACAGGACAGGAUGGAAGCCCUUCAAGAGAAUUGCCAAGAAAAAGACUGAGAAUGGGCACAGCCUUCUGGAGGUGCCCGUGCAGGCGGCAACAGCUGGGACUAACUCUCCUCCAACGUUAUUGCUAAUUGGCAGCAGCAGACCGGACGCGAGGCUGAGUAGGUGAAAGAUGGGCGAAAACUAACACAAAGCCAAACUCUGAAACUCCAAUCAGCUUUAAUUAGGCCAGAAAAAUCAUCAACAGCUGGGGAAUACACACCUACUGAGAGAGUGGGGCCUGGAGGGCUGUGAAGCGUUUCUGGGUCCAGCUAAGGAUCUUGCACCCCGUCACCCACCUCCCUGGCUUUUGGGUUUUCCACCUUUAUAAAUAAGCUGCUAAAAGUGGCUAUUUUCUUUUCCUGCCAGAUGUAGCAAUGCUCGAUUUAGAAAAUGCAAAAGGAUCCUUCCAAGAUCUGGUGCUAGGAGGUGGUUCCCACGUCCCUGUCUCUUUCCCUGACUCUACAGAAUAUCCUAGAUUGUGCAAAGACUCCUAGCCAGAGUCCAAAGCUGUUAUCCAGAAUCUACCCACCAGGACCUCCAAUCAAGGGACUUUUUAAAAAUGUAUAAAACAUGGAAUAGUGGAAACGUCAUCAGUUUUGGUUCUUAGACCCGGUUUUAAAAUCUCCCCACACGGCUUUCUAGCCAUGUGAACCCUAACAAAAUCAGUGUGGUUCUCUGAGACUCCUGGUCCUCGCUGAUGCAGUGGUUUCCUCCUGGUUGCUGCAUAGGACACGGUGAGGAUUCAAGUCAACCAGACGCCGGAAGCAAACCGCUCUUGCGCAGUCUCCAGCACUGGGCUCCCUGCCCCCUCUGCCUGCACAGCGCUCAGCUCUCACUGGGACUACUUGUCUGCACUGUGGAGAGUUCUGUUCCAAUACUUUUUUCGGGAAAAGGAUUAAGGCAUUCGAAACUGAACCGAUAGUGAGGAUUUAAAUCAAACAAAGCCAACUUUUGUAGCCAGUUCUGGAACGGACUUAUGACAGGGAUAACUCAUUGUCUUCUGUUUUCCGCACACAGCUUCUGACUCAUGAGAACGGGAAGUUCUUAAUGAUGAUCCCCAAAUGCUGGGGAAUCCUCCAUCAUCCCUGAAAAGGGACAUCGUGUUCUCACAGUACUGGUUAGGAG